UUAGGCUAACCACUUCUGGUGCAGUCCACUCCCAUGGUGUGACGGGCGGUGUGUACAAGGCCCGGGAACGUAUUCACCGUGCCAUUCUGAUGCACGAUUACUAGCGAUUCCGACUUCACGGAGUCGAGUUGCAGACUCCGAUCCGGACUGAGACCGGCUUUAUGAGAUUAGCUCCACGUCGCCGCUUUGCAACCCAUUGUACCGGCCAUUGUAGCACGUGUGUAGCCCUACCCGUAAGGGCCAUGAUGACUUGACGUCGUCCCCACCUUCCUCCGGUUUGUCACCGGCAGUCUCCCUAGAGUUCCCGACCGAAUCGCUGGCAAAUAGGGACAAGGGUUGCGCUCGUUACGGGACUUAACCCAACAUUUCACAACACGAGCUGACGACAGCCAUGCAGCACCUGUCUGUGCGCUCCCGAAGGCACCAAUCCAUCUCUGGAAAGUUCGCACGAUGUCAAGGGUAGGUAAGGUUCUUCGCGUUGCAUCGAAUUAAACCACAUGCUCCACCGCUUGUGCGGGCCCCCGUCAAUUCAUUUGAGUUUUAACCUUGCGGCCGUACUCCCCAGGCGGUCGACUUAGUGCGUUAACUGCGCCACAAAGGUCUCGAGGACCCCAACGGCUAGUCGACAUCGUUUACGGCGUGGACUACCAGGGUAUCUAAUCCUGUUUGCUACCCACGCUUUCGUACCUCAGCGUCAGUGUCAGUCCAGAAGGCCGCCUUCGCCACUGGUAUUCCUCCCGAUCUCUACGCAUUUCACCGCUACACCGGGAAUUCUACCUUCCUCUCCUGCACUCUAGCCUAACAGUUCCGGAUGCCGUUCCCAGGUUGAGCCCGGGGCUUUCACAACCGGCUUAUCAAGCCGCCUACGCACGCUUUACGCCCAGU
rnacentral:rRNA from 1 species